rnacentral:rRNA from 1 species
GAUGAACGCUAGCGGCAGGCCUAAUACAUGCAAGUCGAACGGGAUCCAGAUCAAAGCUUGCUUUGGUUUGGUGAGAGUGGCGCACGGGUGCGUAACGCGUGAGCAACCUACCCUUGUCAGGGGGAUAGCCCGGCGAAAGUCGGAUUAAUACCGCAUGACAUCAUUGAGAGGCAUCUUUCGAUGAUCAAAGAUUUAUCGGACAAGGAUGGGCUCGCGUGACAUUAGCUAGUUGGUAAGGUAACGGCUUACCAAGGCUACGAUGUCUAGGGGCUCUGAGAGGAGAAUCCCCCACACUGGUACUGAGACACGGACCAGACUCCUACGGGAGGCAGCAGUAAGGAAUAUUGGUCAAUGGACGGAAGUCUGAACCAGCCAUGCCGCGUGCAGGAAGACGGCCCUAUGGGUUGUAAACUGCUUUUAUACGGGAACAAACGUCGGUACGUGUACCGGUCUGAGUGUACCGUAAGAAUAAGGAUCGGCUAACUCCGUGCCAGCAGCCGCCGUAA